UAAUGGUCCGUGGGGAAACACUGUGUUCCGUGUGUAGUUACAGUAAAUGGACUAAACGAAGCCUUGAGGCAAAUAAGUUGCCUCGAUGAUUUUUGUAUUCGAAUUACUCUAGGUAUUCGAGGAAUCGUUUCAGCCCUAAACAGCAAUUUACAAAU